CAUCUGCAAACCGUUAGAUUUAGGUGGAACGAGCGGCUGAGAUCGUAUCGCGGUUCUUUUCAACCUCUUGACUGAGCUGACAUUUUCUCACUCUACAACCCUCAUUCUCUCCUCACUCACGUUCAUUCCUCUCUCCUCACUCAAAUUCAAACGCAAUCUUCUCUCUCCUCAACCGAUUUGCUUAAAAUUACACUUCAAAAACCGCCAAUUAUAUCUUAAUUUCGCGAAGAUUACAAAGAUUUUGAGCUUGAACAUUGCAUUUUCUGGUGUCGGAGCUUCGAUUUUUCCAGAGACUGAACUUCUAAGUUCUGCUUCUGUUAGACCUUUAUUUCUGUUGGAAUGGAAGCAUGUAUAGAGAACUAAGGACAUAGGAGGGGAAACUGGGAGAUGAAUGCAACUGAAUAAUAUGGUAUGUCAUCGAUAUUUCUUUUCCAAAACUACAUGUUGUGCUGCUUAGAUUAUAUUGUUCAAUCAAGACUGAUGAGAGCAGGGUGGAUUUAAUAUAUGAUUCUCUGCAACAGUGGUUUUAAUUUUUCAAUUUGUUUUCUGAUUUGAGAUUUUUAAUUCUAAACUUUCUGGUUGAUUUGUGUCAAGGAUUGUUUCUUUUGGUACUUGUUACACUCCCUGCAUCCGAAUUCCCAAAUGAAGUCCAAUUUUUAUUUAUUGUAUACCAUAAUGACUAUACAGAAAUAUCAUCGUUUUAUAACAAUUCUACGCUGUGUUUAUAUAUAUAUAUUCACGGUUACUGAAUAUUUGUGUUUAAUGUAGUUUAGAUGGUUGAUUGGUCUAUGUUGCCAUCUGAUCUUUUACGGCUGGACUAAUAAAGUAAACUAAAUCUCUAUAAAUGUAAAUAAAACCUGUCUAAAAGUUGAUAAGUGGAAGGAGGCUGAUGUAAUCUGGUUUUUGGGUCUCAAAAGCAAUGUGUAAUGUCAAUAGCCUAGGAGUUGUUGUUUUUCUUUUUCCGGUUUGAGUUAAACAACAGUUGUGGCUGCAAUUUGUUAAGUGUAUGUAGGUGGCUUAGCCAAAAUUAUAGGACUGGUAUAGAAUUGUUGGCAGCGUCUAGUUCAUGCAGUCAUGGUGGUGUCAAACCUGAUCAUGUCUACAGUAAAUCUAGGUGUUUGAUGUUGGUUUUUGUCUGGUUGCUUGAAGCUACUAUGAAAAGUCAAUAUGAUAUUGCUUACCUAUGCAACUUGAAUGUGUUAUGGGAUGUAGGCCGGUUAGGUUGUAUAAAUGUACUGAUUCAGCUAUUCUUAAUCAAAUGACACUAUAUUGAAUUGUUGUAUGCUUUGUAUGAUUGUAACUAUUUCGACACACUUUAAUGCUUCACAGUUGUAAAAACCAAAGACGCAGGAGAUAUAGCAGACAUUAAUGAGCCGAGCCAGUAGCAGGUGGAGUAGCUUACGCUGUAGAAAUCUUAGGACACUUGCGAGGUUGAGAACUGCUUGUGAGAGAGUAAAGAGCGAACUUUCUUCAGUAGAAAUCAAAUGACACUAUAUUGAAGUGUUGUAUGCUCUCCUCAUGCUUUGUGUUGAGGCAAUCAAAAUGAAUCGGGGACGAGACUUUGUGUAGGAGUUUAGGUGUGUUUAAUUAGUUUUACUAAGUAUUUGUUAAACCUAUUAGCUCAAAUGGUAGAGCACUAUGGAAAUGCAUAGGGGAUGUAGGUUCGAUUCCUACAUAGGUUGUCUCUAAAAGUAAAAUUAAAAAACUCAAAAGUAAAUCAAAGUAUCUAAAAAGUAAAUCAUAAUAACUCAAAAGUAUCUCGUAACAAAUUAAAUAGUAAAUCAAAAUAUUUCUCUGUAAAAGUAAACUCAUUAGCAAAUAGAAAAUUGAAGAUAAUUAUUACUCCAUCAUCUAUUAGCUAGUGUGUCGCUCGAAGUGAAACAAUUAAAAAGGAAUGAAAGAGAGUAGGGUAGCUUUGGUAAUACAAUUAAGCAUAUGUACAGUUAAAACUCAAAUGUAAAUAAUAUUAACUCAUAAGUAAAUUAAAAAAUCUCAAAAGUAAAUAAAAAAAAGUUUUAAACGUAUUUACCAACAAUGUCCCAAGAGGAUUUGAAGGAAACUCAAAAGCGAACAAACCUACGUGGGAUUCGAACCCACAUCUUUUUGCAUUUACACAAUGCUCUACCAAUUGAGCUAGUAGGACAGUGUUUUUAAUAGAACAAAUAAAAGUAAAGCAAAACCCCCAAAAAAUAAAUCAAAAUAAUUCAAAAGUAAA